rnacentral:rRNA from 1 species
UACGUAGGGGGCAAGCGUUGUCCGGAAUCAUUGGGCGUAAAGAGCGUGUAGGCGGCCAGAUAAGUCCGCUGUGAAAUCUCGAGGCUCAACCCCGAGCCUGCAGUGGAUACGGGCAGACUAGAGUGAUGUAGGGGAGACUGGAAUUCCUGGUGUAGCGGUGAAAUGCGCAGAUAUCAGGAGGAACACCGGUGGCGAAGGCGGGUCUCUGGGCCGAUAUUGACGCUGAGGAGCGAAAGCGUGGGGAGCAAACAGG